rnacentral:rRNA from 1 species
GAUGAGCGCUGGCGGCGUGCCUAAUACAUGCAAGUCGAGCGAACAGACGAGGAGCUUGCUCCUUUGACGUUAGCGGCGGACGGGUGAGUAACACGUGGAUAACCUACCUAUAAGACUGGGAUAACUUCGGGAAACCGGAGCUAAUACCGGAUAACAUGUUGAACCGCAUGGUUCAACAGUGAAAGACGGUCUUGCUGUCACUUAUAGAUGGAUCCGCGCCGCAUUAGCUAGUUGGUAAGGUAACGGCUUACCAAGGCAACGAUGCGUAGCCGACCUGAGAGGGUGAUCGGCCACACUGGAACUGAGACACGGUCCAGACGCCUACGGGAGGCAGCAGUAGGGAAUCUUCCGCAAUGGGCGAAAGCCUGACGGAGCAACGCCGCGUGAGUGAAGAAGGUCUUCGGAUCGUAAAACUCUGUUAUUAGGGAAGAACAAAUGUGUAAGUAACUAUGCACGUCUUGACGGUACCUAAUCAGAAAGCCACGGCUAACUACGUG